ACACGCUCCAGCCAUGGUAAAUGAUUGUCGCAACAAAAAAUUCAAUGAGGACGCGUCCAUGAAGAACAUUACCUGCAUCGAGGACCUGCGGCAGAUUCACAAGCGCCGCGUGCCAAAGCCGUUUUUCGAUUACGUGGACGGCGNUGGACGGCGGCUCCUAUGCGGAAGAAACCCUGCGCGCCAACAUCAGCGACAUGCAGAAGUU
rnacentral:misc_RNA from 1 species